UAAAUGCGCAAAAAUCCCCUCAAACCCAAAACGCGCGGAUCCUUCCCCUGGGUCGGGUCACCGCGCGAGUCGGGGGUGAUCAGACGAUGCCGUUUUGAAGCUACCACACCAGCAACAAAUGGCGACAUUUCGGGUCCUAUGAUUAAAACUAAAACAAGCUUAACAAAACCCUAACAACCAUUUUUCUUUUUUUUUUUAAAAAACUAGAGCUCUCUCUCUCUCGGCGCCGCACGACGGUUCACUGCCUCGUUUAGAGACUCUUCGAACCAUGCCCUUAACCCCGAUGAUGACGGAGAAAGGGCGAUCGGUCCAGUCGCGAGGUACGGAGUGCAGAGUCAAGUGCGUAUGGAGGCAGGUGGCGCGGCUCGGCUCGGAGGCGGCUGAAGCUUGGCACGCGCGAACGAGGAGAGCCGCUGCGGGGCUGAGGCGUGCGGCUAGGGUUCCAAGGGCUAUCGGACUGGUUACUUGGGCUUCUAUAAUCGGGCUAGGGACCUGGGCCCUUGUAAUUAGAAAUUGGGCUUAUUAUAUUUAGUUUGUAUUUCGGGCCUUUGUAUUUUGGGUAUUAGUUUUGUAAUCUGGACAUUAUGUUUUUUUUGGACUAUUUUUAUUUUAUUAUUUUUUAUUAUCGGGCCGGGAAAUAUUGGGCCAUUACAAUUGUCAUAUGCAUAGAAUAAACUGUUAUAAGGUAAAUGAAACUAAUAAAUUAAAAUGAAUUAUUGUA